GGGGAUAUCAAUGGCGCGAAAGUUCUGCGGCAUGACCUCUUCACAAAUGCUGUCCUGUACAUUGAAGUUGUGUUCAUAUGAGUUCACUAAAGCAAGAGCUACUUCCUUUGGUACCUCUUUUUUGCCAAUCGUUGCUAGAGAUGGGUACAAAAGAUUUGAGUUUUGUGCAACUGAAUCAAUUGACCGGAAGGAAAACUGGAGGAAUAUCAGUUUAUCCAAUGACAUCAUCUGUACAUGGCAAGGCGGAUCCCUGCAGCCAUAUAAUUGUUCGUGGAAAAGCUAUGGCAGGACGUGCUGAUGAUCUAUUUCACCUGUUCAAUUGUGUUCUUCAAGAAGUCCAGUUUACAGACCAGCAGCGGUUUAAGCAGUUUGUCUCCCAAAGCAAAGCGAGAAUGGAGAACCGAUUGAGAGGUGGUGGUCAUGGAAUUGCUGCUUCAAGGAUAUGCAAAGCUAAAUACUGUGGGGUGGAUUUCAGAACAAAUGGGUGGUGUCAGUUACUUGGAGUUUCUUCAAGCUCUUGAAGAGAAAGUUGAUCAAGAUUGGGAUGGAAUUUCUUCAUCUCUUGAGGAGAUCCGCAAGUCCUUGCUUUCUAGGCAAGGUUCCAUAGUAAAUAUCACUGCUGAAGGGAAGAAUCUCACCAACUCUGAGAAGUUCAUGAGCAAAUUUCUUGAUUUGCUGCCUAACAGCUCUCCUGUUGCGACUGCUUCUUGGAAUGCUCAAUUACCUUCAGCAAAUGAAGCCAUUGUAAUCCCUACUCAGGUUAAUUAUGUUGGAAAGGCUGGUAACAUUUAUGACGCUGGUUAUCGGCUUAGUGGGAGUGCACAUGUUAUCUCCAAAUACAUUAGUAAUACAUGGUUGUGGGAUCGUGUAAGAGUUAGUGGUGGAGCAUAUGGAGGAUUUUGUGACUUUGAUAGUCACUCAGGAGUAUUCUCCUUCUUAUCUUAUCGGGACCCCAACUUGUUAAAGACACUUGGUGUAUAUGAUGGGACUGGGGAUUUUCUUUGACAAUUAGAAAUGGAUGACGAGACUCUUUCCAAGUCCAUCAUUGGGACAAUCGGAGAUGUUGAUUCGUACCAGCUUCCUGAUGCCAAAGGUUAUAGUAGUUUGUUGCGAUAUUUAUUGGGAAUCACAGAAGAAGAAAGGCAAGUAAGACGAGCAGAGAUACUGUCAACAAGCUUGAAGGACUUCAAGGAAUUUGCAAAUGCGAUCGACGUAGUCAAAGACAAAGGGGUCGUGGUUGCAGUGGCAUCUCCAGAUGACGUCGAUGCAGCACAAAAGGAGCGAAACGACUUCUUUCAAGUAAAAAAAGCCCUCUAGUUCUAUGUCCCAGAAAAUGCUCCGGAUGUAACGACUUUCUGUAGCACUUUCCCAUUAUGCAGCAAGAAAGAGUCAUAAAUAGUAGGUUAGAAAAAAUAAUUUGGCGCAUGAAAUGUUAGUUACCAUGUCAGGAUACUGCAAUUUGGUAUUAACUUUAAAAAGUGGCAGCCAAUUCUUUUGACCACUUAAAUGUGAUUUUUUAUUUCUUUUAAUCAAAAGAGAUUAGCCACCAUUUAGUA